rnacentral:rRNA from 1 species
GAUUUCUGGUUCGGCGCAUUUGGCCCGCCUCGGUUUACGGGGUUGUGUGCCGGUUUGCGCCAUCCAUCCUUCAUGUGAACGAUCCUACCCUUCAUUGGGCGGGGUCGCUGAUCAUGAUCUUUUACUUUGAAAAAAUUAGAGUGUUUAAAGCAGGCUUGCGCUAUGAAUACAUUAGCAUGGAAUAAUAAUUUAGGACUUUGGUCUUAUUUUGUUGGUUUCUAGGACUAAAGUAAUGAUUGAUAGGGAUAGUUGGGGGUGCUAGUAUUCAGCGGCCAGAGGUGAAAUUCUUGGAUUCGCUGAAGACUAACUUAUGCGAAAGCAUU